rnacentral:rRNA from 1 species
UACGUAGGGCGCAAGCGUUGUCCGGAAUUAUUGGGCGUAAAGAGCACGCAGGCGGUUUGGCAAGUCGGAUGUGAAAACCCGAAGCUCAACUUCGGGCCUGCAUCCGAAACUGCCCGACUAGAGGUAGGUAGGGGAGAUCGGAAUUCCUGGUGUAGCGGUGAAAUGCGCAGAUAUCAGGAGGAACACCGGUGGCGAAGGCGGAUCUCUGGGCCUUACCUGACGCUCAGGUGCGAAAGCUAGGGGAGCGAACAGG